rnacentral:lncRNA from 1 species
GCAAUGCCAUCCUUAAAGAGGUUACAGUUGUUCUUAAGGAUCAAAUGAUUUGCACAUCCUAUGGCCUCACCUUCUGUUGUAGGAUGCUAUGAAAGCCUGCAAGUGGAAGGGAUUAGAGCAAUGGUAAAAAUGAAACUAAGUCAAUAUUCUAACAUCCCAUGGUUAUAUCAACAUUUCUUAAUUUUUCAAUCUUUAUGCUUUUACUCCAACAAAUAUAGAUAGUGGAGUUUAGUGUCCCAAAUGCCAUUACUACGGUGAUCUUCAUCCUAGAGUAAUCUGAUUUUUGAUGAUCUAAGAUCAUUAUAUUUAGUUUGCUAUGCCUUGGUGAUUAAAGAUCCUCGGGGAUCCACGAUUAACUUUUUUUAGUAUGCCAUAGAAUCCACAAUCACUGACCAUGUAAUAUCAAAAUUUUCGAUGAUAUGUUCCAUAUAUUUUGCAAAUAUUAAAUAGGAUUCUCAAAUAAAUUAUAGAAAAUUACAUAUGAAUUGAAAUCAAAUUAUGAAAACAUGUCAUUCAAAAACAAUUUAGCCAUAUAAAAAAAAAUCAAAACAUGGUGAAAUAAUUCUAGAGAAUUAUCAGACUUUCUAACUAGAAGAAAUUUUUUUAUAGAAUUAUCAAACCCUUUCCAGUAAGAAGAAUUUUUUUUUCUAUAGGUCAAUAUUUUUGGAAAUAAAUUGUUAUGCUAGACUGAGGGAUAUUUUUAUCUUCAAAUUUUAACCUAACAUCAUUGUCCUAGGGUGAUCUUGGAAAUCUUUCCUCAAUGUCAAUUUUAAUACUACUAGUUUGGGCAACGAUUUUAAGAAUAGAGAUAAUUUGAGAUCACUGCCAUAUAGGACUAUUAAGGUGCAUCUAAAUACGGUUAUUUUAUUACCUUCAUCCAUAUCACUAUUGAUCUUAGAGUCAUUAUCUCAUACCAAAUGCCACCUUAUCUUAUGAUGUCCCAAUGUUUAAAGUAUUCUUUUUGCUAAAAAUUUAAAAUGUAAAUCAGACUUGUUGUAUGAUAACACUCUCCUUCGAUCUAGC